CCUACGGGAGGCAGCAGUGGGGAAUUUUGGACAAUGGGCGAAAGCCUGAUCCAGCAAUGCCGCGUGUGUGAAGAAGGCCUUCGGGUUGUAAAGCACUUUUGUCCGGAAAGAAAUCCUCUGGGUUAAUACGUCGGGGGGAUGACGGUACCGGAAGAAUAAGCACCGGCUAACUACGUGCCAGCAGCCGCGGUAAUACGUAGGGUGCAAGCGUUAAUCGGAAUUACUGGGCGUAGAGCGUGCGCAGGCGGUUUUGUAAGACGGAUGUGAAAUCCCCGGGCUUAACCUGGGAACUGCAUUCGUGACUGCAAGGCUAGAGUAUGGCAGAGGGGGGUAGAAUUCCACGUGUAGCAGUGAAAUGCGUAGAGAUGUGGAGGAAUACCGAUGGCGAAGGCAGCCCCCUGGGCCAAUACUGACGCUCAUGCACGAAAGCGUGGGGAGCAAACAGGAUUAGAUACCCUGGUAGUCCACGCCCUAAACGAUGUCAACUAGUUGUUGGGGAUUCAUUUCCUUAGUAACGUAGCUAACGCGUGAAGUUGACCGCCUGGGGAGUACGUCACAAGAU
rnacentral:rRNA from 1 species